rnacentral:rRNA from 1 species
ACGAACGCUGGCGGCGUGCCUAAUACAUGCAAGUCGAACGCACUCUCGUUUAGAUUGAAGGAGCUUGCUCCUGAUUGAUAAACAUUUGAGUGAGUGGCGGACGGGUGAGUAACACGUGGGUAACCUGCCCUAAAGUGGGGGAUAACAUUUGGAAACAGAUGCUAAUACCGCAUAAAACCUAACACCGCAUGGUGUAGGGUUGAAAGAUGGUUUCGGCUAUCACUUUAGGAUGGACCCGCGGUGCAUUAGUUAGUUGGUGAGGUAAAGGCUCACCAAGACCGUGAUGCAUAGCCGACCUGAGAGGGUAAUCGGCCACACUGGGACUGAGACACGGCCCAGACUCCUACGGGAGGCAGCAGUAGGGAAUCUUCCACAAUGGACGAAAGUCUGAUGGAGCAACGCCGCGUGAGUGAAGAAGGUUUUCGGAUCGUAAAACUCUGUUGUUGGAGAAGAAUGUAUCUGAUAGUAACUGAUCAGGUAGUGACGGUAUCCAACCAGAAAGCCACGGCUAACUACGUGCCAGCAGCCGCGGUAAUACGUAGGUGGCAAGCGUUGUCCGGAUUUAUUGGGCGUAAAGCGAGCGCAGGCGGUUUCUUAAGUCUGAUGUGAAAGCCUUCGGCUCAACCGAAGAAGUGCAUCGGAAACUGGGAAACUUGAGUGCAGAAGAGGACAGUGGAACUCCAUGUGUAGCGGUGAAAUGCGUAGAUAUAUGGAAGAACACCAGUGGCGAAGGCGGCUGUCUGGUCUGUAACUGACGCUGAGGCUCGAAAGCAUGGGUAGCAAACAGGAUUAGAUACCCUGGUAGUCCAUGCCGUAA